rnacentral:tRNA from 1 species
GCCUCUGUAGCUCAAUUGGUUAGAGCGCUGCACCGGAAUCGCAGGGCCGUAGGUUCAAUUCCUACCAGAGGAC